GAUGAACGCUGGCGGUAUGCUUUACACAUGCAAGUCGUACGGGAAUUUUUAAUUCAAGUGGCGGACGGGUGAGUAACACGUAAGAAUUUACCUUUAGGAGGGGGAUAACAGCUAGAAAUGGUUGCUAAUACCCCAUAUGCUUUCGAGUGAAAUGGAUUUUUCCGCCUAGAGAGAAGCUUGCGGCUGAUUAGCUUGUUGGUGAGGUAAUGGCUUACCAAGGCGACGAUCAGUAUCUGGUUUGAGAGGACGAUCAGACACACUGGAACUGAGACACGGUCCAGACUCCUACGGGAGGCAGCAGUGGGGAAUUUUCCGCAAUGGGCGAAAGCCUGACGGAGCAAUACCGCGUGAGGGAUGACGGCCUAUGGGUUGUAAACCUCUUUUUUCAGGGAGGAAU
rnacentral:rRNA from 1 species